rnacentral:rRNA from 1 species
AUUGAACGCUGGCGGCAGGCCUAACACAUGCAAGUCGAACGGAGCGGCGGACGGGGGAGUAAGGCCUAUGAAUCUGCCUGGUAGUGGGGGAUAACGUCCGGAAACGGGCGCUAAUACCGCAACCUAUCAGAUGCGCCUAGGUCGGAUUAGCUAGUUGGUGGGGUAAAGGCCUACCAAGGCGACGAUCCGUAACUGGUCUGAGAGGAUGAUCAGUCACACUGGAACUGAGAAACGGUCCAGACUCCUACGGGAGGCGGCAGUGGGGAAUAUUGGACAAUGGGCGAAAGCCUGAUCCAGCCAUGCCGCGUGUGUGAAGAAGGUCUUCGGAUUGUAAAGCACUUUAAGCUGGGAGGCGUUACCAACAGAAUAAGCACCGGCUAACUUCGUGCCAGCAGCCGCGGUAAUUC